AAAAUUUUCUUUUUUCCUUCUCAGCAAGGCAAUUUACUUCUAUAGAAGGGUGCGCCCUCACAGAUGGAGCAAUGAGAUGGAUUUCACCGUGUUAGGAUGGCCUCCAUCUCCUGACUUCAUGAUCUUCCCGCCUCGGCCUCCUGGGAUUACAGGUGUGAGCCACCGCAUCUGGCCAGAAGUUAAGUUUAAAAGUAGAAGACAAAGAAUUGAACAUACUGACAUUGAUUCUUCGAAGAGAAAUUUAGAACUCAUAUCUAACACCAGCCUCCAAUUGAUUGAGCCAAUUCCUUCAAAUAAAUCUCUCUCUGCAAUAUGCAUCCUAUUGGAUCUGUUUCUGUAGGGAAUUCUGAUUAAUAUACCCUUUCAAGGAACAGCUUUGGAAGAUUAAGAUAAUUGUCUGCUUCUGGAACAAAAGACAGGUUUGUUGCUGUUCAGUUUAAUAAAGAGAGUGUCACCUUCUGGGGCAAAGGCUGAGCAUGUUGGCUUGCAGUUCACUGUUCAAGACUGGGCUUUCCUAAACUUGGUGUACCUGGGCGGUAAAACCAAUCACAUGUGCAGCAUCCACCUGGACUGUCCCCAUGGGACUUGGAAGGGAAAGGGGAACCGAAGGGAAUAUGAAGCCCAGGCUACUGGCUGUGCUGUGAAAAAUAAAGCCCUUUCUCUCUGACUCAGGUGUUUUCUGCCAUCAUUUGUGGAGCUGUUAGAUGAGCUUGUUAGCUUGCAAGUAGGGUAAAAUCUAACAUGAUUCUGAAUAGUAUCUAGCCAUACUAUACCCA
rnacentral:lncRNA from 1 species